CGUUACAUUAUUCCCUCAUAGAGGAAUUAUGAAACGUUAUUAAGUUAUUGUUGCAUGUAUGAUUCAGAUCACAUUAGAUGUGUUUAAACUAGAAGUUACUGCUCUCUCUCUGACAGUAAAUGAAACAGCGCUUGCGUUUAAAUUCUUAUUGGACUAGAUUGUGACACGUGACCAGGAAGCGCUCUGUCGCAGCACAUGCGACAACAUUACUUUGUUAAAAUGACACAGUGUGCUGCCAUAUUCCUCCUUUUUAGUCAUCUACUGUCGUUAAACCGUCACAGAGAACAGUUCUUCCCAGGAUCAGGUCCCGGUCUCUGACGUGUACAACUCAUACUUACCUGGCAGGGGAGAUACCAUGAUCAACAAGGUGGUUCACCCAGGGCGAGGCUUGGCCAUUGCACUCCGGCUGAGCUGACCUCUGCGAAUUCCCCAAAUGUGGGAAUCUCGACUGCAUAAUUUGUGGUAGUGGGGGACUGCGUCCGCGCUCUCCCCUGAUAACUGUGUUAAUAGAAAUUAAUAUGAUACUACAUUAAAGCCCUGACGUUUGACGUUGAUUGCUGUGAAGCUGUUUCACUUGUGUCAGAAGUUCCCUGUUUCUCAUGAGCCACUAUAGCAUAACAAGCUCCUGUGAUAAUGUUAUUCAUUUAUAUUUAGUUUAAUUUAAAUAAGUAAAUCUAGAAUGAUCUAAUGAAAUCAGCCACGACUGCCCCCUGUUGUUUAUAGGACGUCUGUCAGUCAGUGAACAAGAGAGGAAUCUGACAAUUGUUCGGUUUGCAGAUUAAAUAUUUGUUGAAGUCUCCUGAAGGUGGAACAAAUAUAUGGUGUUGUAAAGAGUUAACAUUAAAACAAUUGAAACUCA